GUUAAUAUCCAACAAUAAAGUUCCCGAUUGCUAACCCGUUCCCCUAGUAGCUGAGUGGCCCUUUGACAGAGUGAUCGUACCUAAGCUAUGUGAAGACUUGGUGGGAAGAGAAGACCCAGAAGUAAAAAGGGAGAACAGGAUGGAGGCCAUCAAGGCUAUGCUUCCAUAUAAACAAUGGCUGACUGUUUCAUCAUUCCUAUGGCUCAUUUCCCUCCAACACAUCAAAGAAAAGAAAACAAAUGCAGGAUGCUUACUCCCUUUAAAUAAUGUUAGGACACACCAUCUUUCAAGUCUUCUAUUAUUUCUGGGACCUUGUACCAAUACAGGAAUGUUUGCUGUUACAGUCCUUGUCCGGUUCAGCUCAUUAUUUACUUAAGGGGGAAGUCAACUAUAGGAGGAGACAUCUGAAUGAAUCCACCGUCAAGCCGUCCCUGGCAUUCUUAUUUACCUGGCACUGUAUUAGUAAUUGUGUUGAAUAAACUGAAGACUAAAUAAAGAUUAACUGAAAAAUUCCU